UACGUAGGUGGCAAGCGUUACUCGGAAUCACUAGGCGUAAAGCGCAGGUAGGCGGUUCGGUAAGUCCUUUGUGAAAGCUCCCGGCUCAACUGGGAGAGGCCAAGGGAAACUACCGGGCUAGAGUGUGGUAGGGGAAACUGGAAUUCCUGGUGUAGCGGUGAAAUGCGUAGAUAUCAGGAGGAACACCUAUGGCGAAAGCAGGUUUCUGGGCCAUCACUGACGCUGAGCUGCGAAAGCUAGGGGAGCAAACAGG
rnacentral:rRNA from 1 species